rnacentral:rRNA from 1 species
UACGUAGGGUGCAAGCGUUGUCCGGAAUUAUUGGGCGUAAAGAGCUCGUAGGCGGUUUGUCGCGUCUGCUGUGAAAACUCGGGGCUUAACCCCGGGCCUGCAGUGGGUACGGGCAGACUAGAGUGCGGUAGGGGAGACUGGAAUUCACGGUGUAGCAGUGAAAUGCGUAGAUAUCGUGAGGAAGACCAGUGGCGAAGGCGGGUCUCUGGACAGUUCCUGACACUGAGGCACGAAGGCCAGGGGAGCAAACGGG